rnacentral:snoRNA from 1 species
AUUUUAAGUGAUGUGACUAUCCAUAUUUAUUUAACAUGAUUCCUGAAUGAAACACCUGGAACAUGCACCACCAUCUGAUAAAAU